CGUAGGGGGCGAGCGUUGUCCGAAGUUACUGGGCGUAAAGCGCGCGUAGGCGGGGGAUUAAGUGAGAGGUGAAAGGCUGGGGCUCAACCUCAUGCAGUGCCUCUCAUACUGGUCUUCUUGAGGGCGGUAGGGAGAAGUGGAAUGGCUGGUGUAGCGGUGAAAUGCGUAGAUAUCAGUCGGAACACCGGUGGCGAAGGCGGCUUCUUGGGCCGUUCCUGACGCUGAGGCGCGAAAGCUGGGGGGAGCGAACGGGAUUAGAUACCCCGGUAGUCCCAGCCGUAAACGAUGGAUACUAGGUGUCGGGGGUAUCGACCCCCCCGGUGCCGCAGCUAACGCAUUAAGUAUCCCGCCUGGGGAGUACGGCCGCAAGGUUG
rnacentral:rRNA from 1 species